rnacentral:sRNA from 1 species
AUCUCUGAGAGUUGGCAGACUGGGAGAAGCUGCUUCCAACUGAUUUUUAGACACAGUGCAGCAAUCAACAAAUAUUUUCCGGGCAUUCACUCCACACACACACAUUAAGCAUUUCUUUGAAAUAGAUGUUAGGAAAAUAGAGAUGUGCUCUUAAGGGCAGCACUGGACUCUGGUUCUUCACAGAGAAGUAAUGUGCCUGUUUUUCCAGCCUCACCUAAUGAAGGCACAGUGAAUCUUUGAGGAAACAUCGGAGAAAUCAGAGGAAUACUCCUCUGCGCAUGCUUCAAGAAAGACACUUGAACUAUAGGUCCAUAGCAAAGCUAUCAAGAGAUGGACAUCCUGCCAUUUGCAACCGCAGAGGUUAGCAAAGACCAUUAUGCCGAGUGGAAUGAUCGAGACUCAGACAGACAGAUGCUGUAUGAUUCCAUUUGAGAAUGGAAACCAACAAUGUUGACCUCUCAGAUCCGAAUGUCCAGUGUUGGCCGUGGGAAGCAAAGGAGAUGGAGAGUUACUGAUGACGGGGUCCAGGCUUUCAGUCUCAAAGCUGAAACGGCGGUUCUGAGGGUCCAUGGAUGGAGGAUCUUCAUAAUAAAGGGCUGGCUAACAAAAGAAAAGCAUGACCAAUAUGCUUAAGCAAAGCCUUACAUGACACAAGAGUUAAUCAGAGGUGAAGACUGAAAUAAAAAUUUGGGAUUUGUGGCAGAAUGGACUGAUUUCUGUGCAGUAGGAUUGUGCUAAGUAGGUGUGUUACUUGCUUAGUGGGAACAAACGAGGCCAUGUGAGCAAUGCCUGUUUGUUUAGAGUCUUCUUGACCCGAGUGUAGGAAGCAUGCCUCUAAAAUGAGGGAUUAAGAAUUUCUAGGGAAGGUUAGUUAAGGAUGUCUCUUAUAUACAUGCUUUAGGGGAGGAAGAAAGCAGAGAAAUAUGAAGACAUCAGAGAUAUUUCUGCUUCUGUGAUUUCUGUUCCCCUUAAAAUCCUCAGCAUGCCAAUGUGCCAUAUUUGAGAAGAGAGGAGCAUUUCCUGCCCUCAAGGAAGCUGUUAGGUUAGGACCUUGUUACAUUUAUUUAUCAAUGCUUGUAGCUCUUUGUGUAGUGUCCUUAGGUUUCUCUGCAUAGACAAUAGUGUCUUCAGUAAACACAGUUCUUACAUUUGGAUUUUGUAUCUGUCAUUUCUUUUUCUUGCCUUAUUGCAAUGUACCAAAGCUGUAGCACAACAGUGGGGGAUGGCAGUUAGAGGCCAGAGCAGACACCCCUUACUUAGUCUUCAUGGAGAGCAGGGCAUUCUUCACCAUUGUUAGAACUGUUGAUCUGUCACAAAUAAGUGUUCUCAUAGGAGCUUUAUGUCUGGAUGAAGUGUUUGCUAAUUUUAGUUCAUAGAAAACGCAUUAUGAAAUAAAUUUGAAUUUUACAAGGGCAACAUCUUCAUCUGUUGAAUGUUUAUGUGAGUCUUCUGUGUUUUUCAUGGAAAUUAUACUAACUGGUUUUAAAAUAGUGGGCCCUUAAACAAGCCACACCUACACAUUUUAAACAUCUCUUCUAAUAUCUUACUGGCAACUUAUAUUUUCUAAAUGAUUUAUUUCAUGCACAUGUAUAUUUUGCCUACAUAAGGGAGUCAGAUCCCCUA